rnacentral:rRNA from 1 species
UACGAAGGGGGCUAGCGUUGCUCGGAAUCACUGGGCUUAAAGGGCGCGUAGGCGGAUUCUCAAGUCCGGGGUGAAAUCCCACAGCUCAACUGUGGAACUGCCUCGGAUACUGGGAGUCUCGAGGGUGGCAGGGGUAUGCGGAACUAUCGGUGGAGCGGUGAAAUGCGUUGAUAUCGAUAGGAACUCCGGUGGCGAAGGCGGCAUACUGGUCCACUUCUGACGCUGAGGCGCGAAAGCCAGGGGAGCAAACGGG